rnacentral:rRNA from 1 species
AUUGAACGCUGGCGGCAGGCCUAACACAUGCAAGUCGAGCGGUUGACGGGAGCUUGCUCCCUGAUUCAGCGGCGGACGGGUGAGUAAUGCCUAGGAAUCUGCCUAUUAGUGGGGGACAACGUUUCGAAAGGAACGCUAAUACCGCAUACGUCCUACGGGAGAAUGCAGGGGACCUUCGGGCCUUGCGCUAAUAGAUGAGCCUAGGUCGGAUUAGCUUGUUGGUGUGGUAAUGGCUAACCAAGGCGACGAUCCGUAACUGGUCUGAGAGGAUGAUCAGUCACACUGGAACUGAGACACGGUCCAGACUCCUACGGGAGGCAGCAGUGGGGAAUAUUGGACAAUGGGCGAAAGCCUGAUCCAGCCAUGCCGCGUGUGUGAAGAAGGUCUUCGGAUUGUAAAGCACUUUAAGUUGGGAGGAAGGGUUGUAGAUUAAUACUCUGCAAUUUUGACGUUACCGACAGAAUAAGCACCGGCUAACUCUGUGCCAGCAGCCGCGGUAAGAC